rnacentral:rRNA from 1 species
CAAGUCGAGCGGGUCGCAAGACCAGCGGCGGACGGGUGAGUAACACGUAAAGAAUCUGCCCUGAAGCGGGGAAUAACUAUCCCAACGGAUAGCUAAUACCGCAUAAUGAUGGAGGUGGCAUCACCUCUUCUCAAAAGGCUUCGGCCACUUCAGGAUGACUUUGCGUCCCAUUAGCUUGUUGGCGGUGUAACGGACCACCAAGGCGACGAUGGGUAUCCGGCCUGAGAGGGUGUACGGACACAUUGGGACUGAGAUACGGCCCAGACUCCUACGGGAGGCAGCAGUAGGGAAUUUUGCGCAAUGGGGGAAACCCUGACGCAGCAACGCCAUGUGUGGGAUGAAGCAUUUCGGUGUGUAAACCACUGUCAGCAGGGAAUAAAAGGCCUUUUAGGCAUUUGAAUGUACCUGCGAAGGAAGCCCCGGCUAACUUCGUGCCAGCAGCCGCGGUAAUACGAGGGGGGCAAAUGUUGUUCGGAAUCACUGGGCGUAAAGGGAGCGUAGGCGGGUUUCUAAGUCAGGUGUUUAAUCCCGGGGCCCAACCCCGGACAGGCACUUGAAACUGGGAAUCUUGAAUAGGGGAGAGGUCAGUGGAAUUGGAGGUGUAGCGGUGGAAUGCGUAGAGAUCUCCAAGAACACCAGUUGCGAAGGCGGCUGACUGGACCCAUAUUGACGCUGAGGCUCGAAAGCAUGGGGAGCAAACAGGAUUAGAUACCCUGGUAGUCCAUGCCAUAAACGAUGAAUACUAGGUUUUGGGCCCGUCAACGGUCCAGAGCCGCAGCUAACGCGUUAAGUAUUCCGCCUGGGGAGUACGGUCGCAAGACUGAAACUCAAAGGAAUUUGACGGGGGCCCGCACAAGCGGUGGA